UGAGGGAAUAUUGGGUCAAUGGGCGAGAGCCUGAACCAGCCAAGUCGCGUGAAGGAUGAAGGUUCUAUGGAUUGUAAACUUCUUUUAUUCGAGGGUAAAGUGAGGUAUGUAUACCUUAUUGCAAGUAUCGAAUGAAUAAGCAUCGGCUAACUCCGUGCCAGCAGCCGCGGUAAUACGGAGGAUGCGAGCGUUAUCCGGAUUUAUUGGGUUUAAAGGGAGCGUAGGCCGGAGAUUAAGCGUGUUGUGAAAUGCCGCGGCUCAACCGUGGCACUGCAGCGCGAACUGGUUUUCUUGAGUGCGCGCGACGCAGGCGGAAUUCGUGGUGUAGCGGUGAAAUGCUUAGAUAUCACGAGGAACCCCGAUUGCGAAGGCAGCUUGCGGGAGCGCAACUGACGCUGAAGCUCGAAGGUGCGGGUAUCGAACAGGAUUAGAUACCCUGGUAGU
rnacentral:rRNA from 1 species